UAUUGGGCGUAAGCGCGCGCAGGUGGUUUCUUAAGUCUGAUGUGAAAGCCCACGCCUCUACCGUGGAGGGUCAUUGGAAACUGGGAGACUUGAGUGCCUAAGAGGAAAGUGGAAUUCCAUGUGUAGCGGUGAAAUGCGUAGAGAUAUGGAGGAACACCAGUGGCGAACGCUUCUUUCUGGUCUGUAACUGACACUGAGGCGCGAAAGCGUGGGG
rnacentral:rRNA from 1 species